UUUCAUUCAUCUCUCUCAUUCUUUACUUUCUACUUCAAACACGUUAUCACGCACUUUGCUCUCCGAUCUUUCGAUUUGGCCGGACAGGAGAAGAGAAGAACAAGGAUGAACAGGGGACGUCAACCUCCAUCCAUUCAAAGAUCAUCAUCGAAUCAGAAUGGAGAGAUCAAACACAAAAGAAGAAUUUGAUUGAUCAUACUCCAAACAGAAACUAGAAACUGGUCAUGUUUUUUUCAAUCAAGUAACCACAUCGGAUUGAACCUUGUUUUUAUCUUUAAUGGCCAGGGAAUUGGACAAUGCUCGCAUCUUUUCAUGGACCAAGGCAUCAUCAGAAUAGAAAAAGGCGGACAGAAAAAGCUAGAACAUUGCAUUGGCAUCCAUGAUUAAUGGAUUGAAAAAUAAAUCCAUACCAAGAACUUUUUUUCUUUCCAAGCAGCGGCCAAUGCGACUUGACGACACCCAUGAUGUUAAGACGAUGAUAUCAAGGGGCUCCAGGCAGGAGGCAAGGCGUCCUUAAGCGCUCAGGCUGUCGAGCCACAACACAGUGGCGCGGUUGUCGCGUCGCUCCUCCCUCCGGCGGAGCACGACCCCGGCACAUGGCCCUCGGGAACGGCAGCGGAAGCCGAUGCGUCGCUCCUCCCUCCGGGGAAGACCACCAUGGCGCGCAGAUCCUCCGCGCCUGGUCCCUUCCGGCGGCCGCCAACGAACAGUCCGACGGCUUCCCACGCGUGCAACGCACGACGGCAAAUUAGGCGCUCGAUGGCGGUUGCCUCUGCGCAAAAGCCAGAAGGGGAGCGGCCGAACAAAUUGAUCGAUUCCUAUCCACAAACAGGAAGCCAUAGAAACCUUAUCCCUUCCUUAUUUAUCACUUUAACCCCUCCACUCUUUGUUAUCUGCUGAAAAGUUCCUAUUGUUUUUGGUUCAGCCCUCAUGCUUUUCCAAUGUCUUUGCUGUUUUCAGCACUAUAACCCUCUGG
rnacentral:lncRNA from 1 species